rnacentral:rRNA from 1 species
AUUGAACGCUGGCGGCAGGCCUAACACAUGCAAGUCGAGCGGAUCGGCGGACGGGUGAGUAAUGCCUAGGAAUCUGCCUGGUCGUGGGGGAUAACGUCCGGCAACGGACGCUAAUCCCACAUACUCUCAGAUGAGCCUAGGUCGGAGUAGCGAGUUGGUGGGGUAAAGGCCUACCAAGGCGACGAUCCGUAACUGGUCUGAGAGGAUGAUCAGUCACACGGGAACUGAGACACGGCCCAGACUCCGACGGGAGGCAGCAGUGGGGAAUAUUGGACAAUGGGCGGAAGCCUGAUCCAGCCAUGCCGCGUGUGUGAAGAAGGUCUUCGGAUUGUAAAGCACUUUAAGUUGGGAGGCGUUACCAACAGAAUAAGCACCGGCUAACUCCGUGCCAGCAGCCGCGGUAAUAC